GACGAACGCUGGCGGCGUGCCUAAUACAUGCAAGUAGAACGCACAGUUUAUACCGUAGCUUGCUACACCAUAGACUGUGAGUUGCGAACGGGUGAGUAACGCGUAGGUAACCUGCCUGGUAGCGGGGGAUAACUAUUGGAAACGAUAGCUAAUACCGCAUAAUAUUGAUUAUUGCAUGAUAAUUAAUUGAAAGGUGCAAUUGCAUCACUACCAGAUGGACCUGCGUUGUAUUAGCUAGUAGGUGAGGUAACGGCUCACCUAGGCGACGAUACAUAGCCGACCUGAGAGGGUGAUCGGCCACACUGGGACUGAGACACGGCCCAGACUCCUACGGGAGGCAGCAGUAGGGAAUCUUCGGCAAUGGACGAAAGUCUGACCGAGCAACGCCGCGUGAGUGAAGAAGGUUUUCGGAUCGUAAAGCUCUGUUGUAAGAGAAGAACGGGUGUGAGAGUGGAAAGUUCACACUGUGACGGUAUCUUACCAGAAAGGGACGGCUAACUACGUG
rnacentral:rRNA from 1 species